rnacentral:rRNA from 1 species
GUCCACACUGUAACGUUGAUUACUCGCUGUGUGCGAUAUACAGUACGCGGCCAAGCGAAGCGAUAAGUAAUCCACCUGGGGAGUACGCCGGCAACGGUGAAACUCAAAGGAAUUGACGGGGUCCGCACAAGCGGUGGAGCAUGUGGUUUAAUUCGAUGAUACGCGAGGAACCUUACCUGGACUAGAAUGCCCUUGACCGAUCCAGAGAUGGAUUUUUCAGCAAUGACAAGGAGCAAGGUGCUGCAUGGCCGUCGU